GUUGGGGUGGCAGAGCCCGGACACUGCAAAAGACUUAAAUCCUUUUUACGAAGGUUCAAAUCCUUCCCCUAACU
rnacentral:tRNA from 1 species